rnacentral:rRNA from 1 species
CCUACGGGAGGCAGCAGUGGGGAAUUUUGGACAAUGGGCGAAAGCCUGAUCCAGCAAUGCCGCGUGAGUGAAGAAGGCCUUCGGGUUGUAAAGCUCUUUUGUCAGGGAAGAAACGGUGAAAGCUAAUAUCUUUUGCUAAUGACGGUACCUGAAGAAUAAGCACCGGCUAACUACGUGCCAGCAGCCGCGGUAAUACGUAGGGUGCAAGCGUUAAUCGGAAUUACUGGGCGUAAAGCGUGCGCAGGCGGUUUUGUAAGUCUGAUGUGAAAUCCCCGGGCUCAACCUGGGAAUUGCAUUGGAGACUGCAAGGCUAGAAUCUGGCAGAGGGGGGUAGAAUUCCACGUGUAGCAGUGAAAUGCGUAGAUAUGUGGAGGAACACCGAUGGCGAAGGCAGCCCCCUGGGUCAAGAUUGACGCUCAUGCACGAAAGCGUGGGGAGCAAACAGGAUUAGAUACCCUGGUAGUCCACGCCCUAAACGAUGUCUACUAGUUGUCGGGUCUUAAUUGACUUGGUAACGCAGCUAACGCGUGAAGUAGACCGCCUGGGGAGUACGGUCGCAAGAUUAAAACUCAAAAGGAAUUGACCGGNGNGAGAGNGCGAGACGACACGAGGGAGGAGG